AAAGCACCUGGUGCCAGGGAGAAUGGAAGAGGCAGUGGGUGCCUGGCCCAGGGACCCUCCUGUCUUGCUCUGGGCCAGGCCAAGCCUCUGAUGGAGAGGUCUAGGCUGGAGAUCAUGUGGUGAUGUGCGUGGGAGCCUCAAGAAACAUCUCCCAGAACAGAGAGCUUGGUACCCAAUAUUCUCAGCGGGGUGCGGCAGGAGGCAAGAGAGAGGAGAGAGUCCCAGCCUCUCUCCAAGCUUUCUACCUACCAGGCCACUGUGAGGAUCUGUGUCUCCCCUAUGUGGAUCCACCAGGAAAUAUUAUUUAGAAGGUUCAUUUGUCUGGCGGAACUCGGAAUCCAGGGGCCAGUGAGAAGCUUAAUGGGCUCCGGGACUCACUAGUGACAUCAUCAGCAUCCUGGACCCCCUCCUGCCCUGCUAGCCCCCCUGCACAUUCUAGAAACUACACACGGUGGGGGACACUAGGGAGGACGUCCUCCUGUGACCGAUUCUCUCUGCUUCCAAGCUAGUAGGAGUUCAAGCUGUCUGGAGGUUGCAACUAAAUAUAAGGACUAAGCU
rnacentral:lncRNA from 1 species